AUUGAACGCUGGCGGCAGGCCUAACACAUGCAAGUCGAACGAGUGGCGGACGGGUGAGUAAUGUCUGGGAAACUGCCUGAUGGAGGGGGAUAACUACUGGAAACGGUAGCUAAUACCGCAUACCAUCAGAUGUGCCCAGAUGGGUGUAUCUUGUUGGUGGGGUAACGGCUCACCAAGGCGACGAUCCCUAGCUGGUCUGAGAGGAUGACCAGCCACAAUGGAACUGAGAAACGGUCCAGACUCCUACGGGAGGCAGCAGUGGGUAAUAUUGGACAAUGGGCGAAAGACUGAUGCAGCCAUGCCGCGUGUGUGAAGAAGGCCUUCGGGUUGGAAAGUACUUUAAGCGGGGAGGCGGUACCAGCAGAAGAAGCACCGGCUAACUCCGUGCCAGCAGCCGCGGUAAUAC
rnacentral:rRNA from 1 species